CCGUGCUAGGUGGGAAGGUAGCGGUGUCCUGUAACUUGCAAUCCGCUCUAGCAAGACUGAAUUCCUUCUCGAGGCUGCAUGUAUUGUAGGGUCUGCCUCUUGCACGUAGUGUUGACGUUUGGGUCCUGCGCAAUGGGAACCCAUGAACCAUGUCAGGUCCGGAAGGAAGCAGCAUUAAGUGGAUCCUCCCAUGUGCCGCAGGGUCGCCUAGACCGAGCUGGCGACAGGAGUAACGCCUAUGUGCUGCAGUCGAAGGAAGGUGCACGG
rfam:Bacillus sp. OxB-1 DNA, complete genome.